AACUUACCAUCAUUGUUCAUUUUCAUCUAUAGUUUAUACGACGCAUUUUAGAUUCUUCCAAUUCUUAAAUACAACAGUUUUGUGUAGCAAGUGGGAGUAUGGAUGAAUCAACUUUUGCCGCACUUCCAUCAAAACAAAAUAAAAGUGAAAUUGCACAAAAUCAAUAAGAGGUCAACGUCCUCCGCUGCGUUCUACACCCGGAGAAUCCCGGAACUCCCGGAAAUGCCCAACUUGCGCCUUUAGCGUCACGAGUUGCAGCCUCAUCUCCUCGCAACCCUCCAAUUACGCCUCGACAGACCGACUGAGAAAUGGCAAAACCAAAAAAGUACACAUUACUACUACACACAUCCAGAUCCGUCUUCCCGUUCUCCCAACAAUGGGGGUCGCAGCGGUGCAACAAAGCCAUUCUUCUGGAUGUUAACCCCAGCAUAAAACUGUUGUCGAUAAGAUAACAAAUAAAUAUCGUAAUUUCUGUCAAAGUAGCGUGUUGUCUGAGAGGGAGGGACAUCGCCUGGAAUCGAUCGAAAUCCCCGACUUGCGUGUCGGUUACCAUGGAAAGUGUUGGCCCAGGUCAUGAGGGGUCAAACCCGGACCUUCCGCAUUCACGAUCUCCCGAUUCGGAGUUCAAUCAACCCCGGGAAUCCCCUUUGUUUACCAACAAACCGAUACGUGUUGCGAAGACGGGAGCCACCCUGCGUUUUGCGUCGGCAAAAUCGCCCGGGCCGGUUUUUUCACGGUGAAAUGGCCACAAGUGGACCAUCGCCGCUAAUCAGGUCAUGUUCGCCAAUCAGAAUUCUUGCUUUCGCACUAGCUUAGGUCACGGACGGAGCGACGUAGUGUAGAGUUUUUAGCGUUUUUGCGAUUACUAAAUUUUUGUGGGGGGUUUUAGUAAUUUUAUACCAAUGAUGUAAUGAAUGCACCAGAUUAAUAACAAGGAGAGUUAAAAAUCCAUAUGACAAGAAUUACUAAAAAAAAAGGAGCAAAAUUCACAGUUUUUAAAUAGUUUCAUAGUCAUUUGAAAGAUUUUUUUGUCAAAGUAGUACAGAACCAUGUCUUGAAGUUUUAGUGAAUAAUUCGUAGCAAAAAUAACAAAACAAACAAAACCAGUCCGAAUAAAGCGUAUUAAUUCGGCGCAGUUUAAUAUUGGCUGAAGAAACUAUAGUAUCGUGACGUAUCUAUUGUUCUAAUUUAAGAAUUUAGUAUCCUUAAUUAAGAAAAUAAAUUAAUUCAACUUGAUUUUUGAAAGAAUUUUUAAUCUAACUAGCAAUAAAGUGAAAAAAUACAAAAAUAAAUUAACUUAAAAAAAAUAACACUUUUCCUGAAUUAUUAAACGAUUCAAAUAUGUUUUUUCCGUUUAGUUAAUUUUCCAGUCCAGUAAUAAACAUUUUAUUAGUAUUUUCUAAUUGUUCAUAAAUAAAUUUAUUUCAGAAUUUCGAGAACGUGUUACAAACCAAACCUUAGGACACAGUUUAAAGAUAUAUGUUUAAAGUGAAGGAAAAAAAAACACUAAAAAAUACAGGCGUAAUUGUUUAAAAAUUGAUUUCAAGUUAAAUUUUACCGCUUUUUUUUUAAACACCCCUAUAUUUAUGUAUCUAUCUAUGAGAAGUAUAGUUAAUUUAGAACAUAUCUUUAGUAAAGUCAUUUUACUUUUUCAAAAAUUUUUAAAUACCUAUAUUUUUUAAAUAAAUCAUUAAAAAAAAAACAAUAUCUAAUUAAGCGAUAAAUUAUAUAACGGUUCUUGAAUAGAAAAAGUCAUCAAGCUGGCUUUGUUUUUUGGAUAGAAGGAAAUGUAGAGGAAAAUAUAUGUAUUUUAUUGAUCCAUACUAUUAUUGAUAGAGCUCCAGAAAAACUGUAAUUUUAUUAUACGAAAAAUCAACGUUAAGUUAUAGGAUCUUAGAUUUUUAUCACCGUCUGUGUGUCUAAUUAUUUAAAAAUUGAUUUCCAGCCAAAUUUAGAACACCCCUAUUAUGAAACUAUUUGUUAUACGAGUACUUAAUUUACAACAGAUCUUUAGCAGACUGUUUUUUUUAUAUUUUAAAUAUUUCUUUUAAAUAAAUAAGACUCAAUUUUCAUUGUAACGGGUGAUCAAAAAGUUUUCAGAUUAGAGUUGGUCCUGGAAAUAUUUGUCAAUUUGUCAUGUCUUUGAUCAAACUGUAAAUGUCAUGCAUAACCUCAUUUGUAAUUAAAAAAAUUGAUUUUUUGACAUUUACAGUUUAAUCAAGGACAUAAAAAUAUUUGCAUGGCCAACUCAAUUUUGAUCAUCCGUUACAUCAUGAGGUUUUACGUAAUACUUAUAUUGUGAAAACUCUUCACGAAAAAUCAAUUAAUUGGUAAGGUCGCACUAGAAUUUCGAAGGUCUACUGAAACAUCUAAAAAUGUAUAAGGAGAUAUAUUUAAAAAUAGUUGGAUGUGCAUUACGUCUCAAAAACAUAACACUCUGCAUAGCUGAAAAUAACUGCGCGAAAGCCAUAGAAUCUAGAUCACGACUUUUUUUUGUCUUUAAUAAAUAAUGAAAUGUCAAAGUUGUUGAUCCACUCUGUAUAUUAUAUUGUAUGUUAAAAUUCCGAGGCAUAAAGAAGUUAAAAUUUUAUUUGUUUGUGGGUUACUUCAACACAUGCUCAACCGGUUUAAAAAUUUAUUUCCAGUCAAAUUUUGUCCUUAUUAUGAAACUAUAUUUAAUUUAGAACAGAUCCUUAGUGAACUUCCUUUUACUUUUUCAAAAAUAUUGUAAAAUUUCUUUUAAAUAAAUCAGUUAAAAAAAUAACUCUUUAAGCAAUCAACUAUUAUUUAUCGGGUGUUAAAAAGUAAGGUUAGGUAACAGCAUUCCGGGUAUCAGUUGUUAUCGAUUAAAUUUAGGCUUAUUGCAGACAUAGUUCAUAAUGUUUAGAGAAAAUCAGCACCAACUUGAUCAAUUUUUACGGCAUGUUGAUAUUUCUACCAAAUAGAAAAAUUACAAUUUCUUUGAAAAUCAAAUUGUGAUAUAAAGUGAAUUUCAUUCAAAGGAAUAAUACAUAACUCUCAAAGCACCACUCAUUACUCCAAAGCGCCCAACUCUUAAACCUAGACCCUUUGCCACACGCCUCGCUCGCCUCGACCCUCAUUCGCGCACCAUUUCCGCCGCAUCAAAGGCCACUGCUACAUUUCGAAACAGCGAUGGUAAUGAACAAGGACAUGGAAUUUCGCGUGGAUUCAACGAGGAAGCGUAGCCUUAACCGGGAUGUCAACAUUGAGACCACGGGUUCAACGUCCGACACACUCCGACUUCCCCUACUUCUCCCACCUGUCUGGUUCCACUAGCACGUUCUCCUUCCACGUAAAAAGACCAUUGCGUGCUCGCACACAAAACGCGCCUACAAAAGACAUAAAAUGCUGGAAAAGACAGUCGAGAUUAGGCCAACGGGGGGAUUCGCGGAGACGCUUUGGGGUGGGUCAGGCACUUGACACUGAAGCCUUUGCAAGCUGGGGGUCUGGGCUAAAGGUCGCGGUUUAGACCAGUUAAACGCAGGUGGAAUGGUGAAAAGUGGUGCAACGGGGUUAAACUUCUUGUUUAGUUUGACAGUUACGGCCAAAUAACUGUGAAACACAGUGUCAAAUAGCUGCAUUAUUUUAAAAACAAAUUUCAUAGUUUACUAGAUGGCUUUUUUUGCGAUCAUAUGGCACUUAAUUGUUGUAAGUCUCCGUGAACAUAAUUCAGCAGAUCACAAACGUUUUAGGUUUAUGGUUGUUCCUUUGCAUGUCUGCAAGUCGUAAAUGUUUGCUGGAAUAUUUCCAAACAAUGCAAAUUAACUUAUUUUGCAAAACUUCAGAUGUGUAACGAUUUACAAGCAUGGUUUCAAAUUUAGUGUCAAAUAAAUUCCAUGGCUUACUAGACGGUUUUUUUUUGGUCGUGUGGUAUAAGUGCUGAAUUUUCGUCAAUCUUUUAAAAAUGCGUCUACUAAGUACGGAUCUGCAUUUUUCGUGUAUAUACUUGUCGGGGAUAAUAACUUCUAUACACAUGUGUUUAGCAUUUUUUGUCCUAGAUACAUCGAUAUUGCCAUAUUUAACAAGUGAGAAUUGAAGUAGCGAGUGUUUUCUCGGAGAGUAUUUUAUUUAGUAACAAACUGUGAUAAAAGUCAAUAGUAGAGUUUUCGUUUUCCUUAUUCAUUUGAUUAAUUCAUUAUUUCAUAUCUGGAAGUAUAUUUACCUAACAGCUAUAGAAUGUUUCUUUAUAGUAAGCAGUUUAAAGUGUUAAACAGACAUUUUUGUAGAAAUGUAUAGCCAAUGUCCCAAAUUAAACCUUAUAUGUGAAAAAACCAUAUUUAAUCAUUGAAGUUGAAUUAUGAAAGUGGUGUUGUUUACUUGUCUCAUGAGUAUUCAUGUCAAAGACUAUGUAAUUUCUGACUCUUUUUUAAAUAUUUUGCCAUUUUUAACUUUAACUGAAAUAAUAUUUGAGAAACUACUGUUAUAAUUUUGCUGUUACAUCGAAGUUGGUGUUGACUGUUGCCGCCUUGUCAACACUUGUGCCAUAACUAGUUCGUUAAGCUGAUGUGCCGCUUAUAACUGUUGAACAACAUUAAAUUUUCAUUGAUAUUUUAAUACGAUGAUCUGUAUAUAUUGCACUGUCCAUAGUUAGUUGAUUUAUACGAGCUAUUUAAAUAUCUUCAUUAAAAAAUAAAACAAGGACGUACAAAUAGCUAUACUUACGAUCUCGAUUUUAUAAUUAACUGUCACUUUGACAAAUAUUCUUAACUUUCUGCCUGUAAUGUGUAACAUUAAAUAUGGCAUUAAAUUUUAUGAAGUUUUAAAUUUGAAUUUAUUUAUUGGCAUUAUAAAUUACGAUUAGAGUCCAUAAAAACAUUUUCAACCUUGAGACACCGGCGACAUAAAUAAAAGAAUUUAUUAUUUUUUUAGUGGCCAAAAUUAUACGAAGCACACUGGGUAUGCCACGAAAUAAUGGAACUUUUGACUGAAAUUUCUUAUUCUUGUGUGAAAAUUUUGAGUGCUCAGUUAUGUGUUUUGGGUUUUUGAAAAUAUUAAUAUAUAAUUUCAUUUUUUAGAGUAAAUUGAUAACUUUAAAACAGACAAUUUUAAAUUAUAUCUCUGACGUAGAAUAAAAUCUUGAAUGAUCCCAGUCACCCAGAUUUGCCACCAUUCAGCCGAAUACCAUAAUGCAUCACGUAGAUCGUAGAAAACACAGCUCCCAUAAACCCUCGGGCGCCAUUUCCACAAAGAAUUACUCUGCUUAGAAAUUGCUGUCAAAGCACAGUCGGUUUGCGGUGAAAAAUAAGUACCUCAUUUCCAAAGGCGGUCAGUUUUGCAGACACAAAAAAUAAUUUUUCUAGUCUCGACAGCUGUCGUCUGUGCAAAUUCUGAAUACCGAAAUGGACAUCGGAAAUCGCCGCUCAAAGAAGAAUAAUCCGUUAGGUAAAGAUAACAAUUCUCAAGAAACCCAUUGUUGACCAACCGCCCUCCUGCACCCGUCCACCAUUGUCCAACCACAACCCAUAAAAUUUUUCUCCUAAUUAACUCUUCCAGGAACCGUCCGAGUCAACAACUCUGAAUUUGAUUCUAGGCCGAUGGUCAUAAUUCCAGCGCAUGCAUCAUCGUAACGGUAAAACCAACACACAAAACGCGUGUUUAUCUAGAGGAGCAUUCAACAACUUGUUGUGUGGGCAGGUGAUACCAUUUAAACGGAACUUGAUUUCUCAAGGCUAUAAGGGUCUGGACGAUAGACCUUCAUCGGUCCCGGGAGCGAAGCACCGCUAGUUAACCUCCUUUUAAGCUCGCUUAUCUAACCCUUUUAAUAAUACGCUCAUGCAUAUGGUAUCGAUGGUAGAAAAAAACACUCAGAAACGGGAACAGCAUGCAGGUGUGGUAGAAAAAAAGAUAAAAAGGCGGCGUUUGCUUUGUAUACAGCAUUCUUUCAGGUUUGAAUGGGUCUCCAGAACUAUUACUCGACAAACAUCUUGCAGUUAUGUCCCAAACUGUUUAAUUGGAAAGGAGUAAUUUGGGUAAUGAUGGGGAAUUAGUUGCAUAGAUUAUGGGGACCGACGCAAUUAUUCUAAUUACUAGAUACCAGACGGAAAAUUUCAAGCUUGUAAGUCAAAUUUAUACUAAUCUAGGAAUCAGAUGAGUUGUUUCAGGAACUUGAGGAAAAUCGCGCCCCAGUUUUCUGUUUCGGUUCUUCGUGGUUGAAACGACGUUCUACAAUUUAAAUUACUCAUUAACUGAGUAAUGUAUGCUGUAUAAACCAUCUCCAUGUCGUCUAAUUUGUUAUUUCUUAGACUGGUCGCACUUCUAUCUUUCCAAUUUUGCUGCAAAAUUUGUUCAGUCUAAUUUACAUUCUCCAGAAUAAUCUGAGUAAACUUUGUUUCAUUCCAAGAAAGUUCAUAAAGUGGUUGUUUACAAAAGAACCAGUGCACUCGUAGCUUCUUGCGAAUUUUCUGAAAGAAAGCUCUUUCGGAUUUUCAUUUCUGCUUAAUUAACAAGCUUAAAAGUCAUACUAUCAACACAGCGUGCAGCUCUUUUAUUCCUGUUUCGAUGUAGCGGAAACGGAAUUUGUGUUUAUUUUAAACAUUCUCAUUAGCCAUUCACGAUCGUGUAGAUUAGAUGGAAUCUAAUAGUCAAAUUGUGACGAUAAAAUAGACCGCAACAAAGUUAAAAUCACGAACUGUCAUCUAAGAUUUACAAGUUUGGUCGUCCGACUAAGCAGUUUAUUGGCGAUGGACAAUUUUUACUAUUGGUGCAGGUACCGCUAUGUAAUACAAUUAGCACCAUAAACGUUUUAUUACCAGAUAAUAACCGAAGUCAGUCGGAGCCGUUUUCUGGGUAAUAAACACCAAGAACUGUCGCCAUGACCAUGAAAGCACUCUGAAUCAAUAAUUAUUAUUUUAAGUAUCUUGUAAAAUAAUGAUUCAAACACGGUUAACCUUGGCCUUGGUCUCAACUUGGGUUAGUCAAUGUCAAAACUUGAUCGCGACUUAUAAACAACACACUAAAGACAAAUCCAGAGAAAUUCAGACCUGUUGCGGUGAAGAAAUGCUAAUUUAAUAAAACUGCCGCGUUUUCAAAAGCCACCGUUUCAGCAAAUUGAUUCAUAAACAAAAACCAUCGAUGUAUAAGCUAAUAAUAAGCUAUUGGUGAGCACGUAAGGAUUGAGUUCGUUGAACUGCCCUAGUGUCCUACUAAUCCGAAAGGAAGGUGAGCAUAGAAAAAUCGAGAAUCGUCGUACGAGUCGAGGCAGCAUCAUCAAUUUUUCUUAAAAAAUUUCAAACACGAUAUGAUAAAGAGGGCCAUUAGGGAGCAACUCCAUUAAUUUUUCCACCGACUGAUGCAACACCUAUGACAGUUAUCACCGGUCUAACUUUCUUUCGGUGUUGUUUGUUUAUGAUAAUUUCGGUAUAACGAGAUAAGGAGGUUUUCGAUUACAAUGAAAGUUAGUGACGUAGGCCACAAUUCGAUGAAUCAUGACAUUGUUCAAAGUUAUUGUUCGAAGGCGUCCGCAUUGAUGCCCAAUUUCAAAAAUCGAGACCAGAGAGGUCGCAUUAAUUUCGCCUAGAUUAUGUUAAUAGGGGUUUGAAUAAGUGCCUAAUAAUCACUCGAGUUACAAAAUAUGAUAAUAAAAUGCAACCCGACGUUGUACAAAACAGAUUGCAAAAUACAGAACGAGUUAUCAACAUUAAAGGAACUGGUUCCUUAUUAUGCAGUUUUCGACCUUAUACACCAGCACACAAGGUUGAGGUUAAAUUUUGAGGUUCGAUGAACCUAACAAAUGUUCACAUGCCGAAUUUUAUUCCGGACGAAUUUGUUUGUUUUUUAAAUUUUAUCUCCUGGAGGACGAAUUCGUAUGCUAAUUUUUUCCACAGCUAGUUGCAUUUUCGUCAAAAGUGAAUUGAUCGAAAUUGAAUUGUUGCGAAAAUUUAAUUGUGUUUGGUCUUAAUGAGAUAUUGUUUCGUCCUACCACACGCCGACGCGUUUGCUAACAAUGUCAACACCUUCAAAAUAUAUACACCUACAAUAUUUUGCGUGUGUCGAAAAAGUGAUGUUCGUUGAGCAAACAGUACGAGAGGAAUUACGAAACGUAAUAUCAAUGUGAAUGUCUUGUCUUAAGGUCAAUAACAUCGCCAUGAUACCAUGACUGCCAAAAUUUAACGCCUUCCCCGUCAUUACAUAAUUGAAUUAAUCAUCGGUAAGUCAUUUUCUCGGUGUUCGUCUGUCGGCAAAAAAUUUUCCUUGAGGUCUACAGGUGUUUAAUUUGCGCCGCGAGGAGAUUGAUCAAGCGCGGCAAAAACGCCUAUAAACAAUUCGGACCACCGGGAUCGAGACCCUUACCUUCGUGGCAAUCUUUCGGAGGAAUAUAUAAAAUCCACGGUAUCCAGAAAAUUUUGGCAAUGUCACUAAACGUAAUCCAAAAAAAGUCACUCAACACACACACUGUCUAAAUCAGUCGAGAUCGUCUCCGAACGGAAUUUUGCAAACGCAUGUCCAACGAAAAAUUUUGACGUUCACUUAAUCCAAGCGUGAAGAAAGCGUCGACCGGUUGUCAAAGCCGCAUGUCUAGGGCAAUGUCAAACACACCACUACGUUCUUCAACCUUCGCAGUCUUUUAGAAACUAAACACCGAUCCGAGUUAAACUUGACCGUGAUGGUUUUCACACAGCGCCAAGUGGUGAUAGUUGGAAGCUUCGGCUAACGGGAACUUCGGUCAACAACCUCCAAAUUCUGAGCGGCCUCAAGACGUUGCCAGCGACUUCAAUGCUGCAGCUCACGUUUGAGGAAGUUCUUUUUGUCGUUGUUUUAGGGUUCAUGGACCAAGCGCUCUCAUCUGCCCGAGAAGCCGCCUUUAUCGCGUCCAUCGCAAUCGAAAGAAAUUUUACGGCCGAUGAGGGUUAUUACGGCUGCGUUUUCGAGCUGAUUGCAGACUGAGCCGAAUUGGCGUCCUCGGAAUCGGAAAAACGUGAUGAUUAACGUUACUUCGCGGAGUAAAAGUUCUACUUUUGAGAAGGUCUUUGACUCAUCGCCGGCAUUUUGUUUAUGGUAAAUGAUAUAACCUUAUUUCACGCACCUAACGAAUUUAGGUAUUCAGUGAAAUGCCUUUCUCUUCACAUUCGCGUGAAUUUUGACAGGUGAAUUAUGAUUCAAUUUCUUCGGAAAACAAUUACAGGAGAACGAGAGUCGGUUUCGCGUCUCAUCCACUGUUGAAGUCUCCGGGCGAUUCUCUCGGAUAACACCCCGCUGGGGAUGGAUUUUGCCACUCACUCACUCUCGCGAUGAAAUAUGGCCACUUAUCCAUCACCGAGACAAAUUUCGACUGUUUAUCUCCACCGGGAAUAUAAAUUUUUACAUUUCUAAUACAGCCACCCUCAUCUACAGACAAUAUUUACGACCAUUUCACCACUAUAACGAUUAAGCGUGCACAAUUUUCUCUAGGUCAACCAGUAAUUUGUAUUGUAUUUCAAACCGGUGACAGUUCUUUUCAAAACCAGAGGGUGGUUACCAUAAACCGCAACAAUGCUCCCGUUCGUGAAUUUAUGACCAACAUGGGGGGUAGAAAGUUCCGUAAAUUGUCGCCUUCUUGGUAACCAAGAUACCGUUAACCCUUUUUCUCCGGUCAAAGAAAAGCAUUACACAACUCAUUGUCAAGGUGCAUCAGUUCUGAACGGAUUCGCUUUGGUUUCGGCCACCCUAGAAACUGGGGUAAACACCAAUAUCGCAGAAACCAGACUAAAAAAUCCCAGGGUGUUUUUUCCAAGAGACAAUUCUGACGUCUGUAAUAAACGAAACGAAAAUUUAAUCGAGUUUGCUCUGUUCUACAUCGUGGGGAGUUCAAUAAACUCGGGUCGUAACACAUUCUGUUUAGCACCUAUCAAGUCUUCAUUUUGCGCGAAAGAGGUCUAAAAAUCAGCGAACUGAAGCAGCGUCAAUAUUGACGUGUGCAUACUUCAUUUGGGCCUUUCUUUGAACUUUGGCUUUUUAAAACUGGCUGACCUAAUUGUUGUUUUUGGAAUUUUGGACUCGCCAUUAUGUGUUAAUUGUGGGUUUGUUAGUUAAUAGGUGUCCCUUGGAGUGACAUAAUCGGCUUGUUCCUGUCCGAUGAGCACAAUGUAGGGUGGAAUGCAACACCUACAAAGAUUUGAAAGUUGCUGUUGGAACGCAGUCUUCACUUACGUUAGGCGAAAAAGGAACUAAUUUAUACGUGCGUUAAGUGCGAGAGUGCGUGAAGAAGAACGCAUAGUGUAACGAGAGUCUUUUUUUUCCUCUAGUUUCAAGUCGAGUCAACUUUACCUAGAAUGGAAACUAAUGAAUUCUAACACAACACGUAAGUGCUUAUUGUGUUAAGAAAUGAAAUUACCUGAAUACCCUGAACUUGUAACUAAUAAUUCCGUCUAUCUCGGAAUUGAGUAAACGACUUCCUGCUAGGUAACUCUGACCCAUCAUUUAGGAGAUUAUUCGCUGUUUUAGCACCUCUAAUACGAAUCCGAAAAUUAAACACACAAUAAAAGUCGUAAACGUCUUCAGGAUCAUAUUUCUAGAAGGAUUUAUGCGCGUUGGUAAACAUUUCCACUCCUGUUUGCCACUAAAACAGACAACAAAUUUAUAUCCGAAUGCUAAUUCGGAAUGACUUUAUCUUUCGUAAAGACACUAGUGCAACAAACUAUUUAUGACACGACAUUCUACCUAAACAAGCAACGCCGAUCUCAAGGCCAGUUCUUAUUUUCAUAGGUUUCAAGGUUAAUUUCAAAAAUUCGCCGAAAAACACGUGCGAAUAAACAUCGCUCAAAGCUGCAUUUUUGGAAUUUUACCACUUUGUUGAUCAUCGCUCAAGAUACAAAGAGAGAUGAAAGUGUGACCCAGCGGAAAAAUUUUUGAAGAAUGAAGAAAGACAAACUUUGAACUAGCAACUGCAGAAUUGUACGAAAAUUUGUGCAAAAAGAUCAGUUCUUUUGAUUUUUGCUUUCCAAUAGUACGAAAACGUAGAACUUUUUCACUCUUGUCAGAAUACUCACGAUGAGAACUAGAACUAAUAACACAUCUUAUUAUUAUUAUAUUAUUAAGAACUGAAAGUUUUAAACAAAAAUAUAACCAAGAAACGAAAGGAAAGAGAGUAGACUAGAUUAUUGUUUCUAUUUUUAGCUUUCAAGGCCUUGACCGUUAUUUUUUUAACAAAAUUAGAAAAUUUGAUAAAGUGACUAAAACCAUUUUAUGUAUAGAUAUGUAACAAAAAAUAAAAACGAAUAAAUAAA